ACAAAUCACCACAGAGCUGCAGACCAGCAACGAAGGGAGCUGAGGGCAAUUUGACCAACAUCAUCUGUGUCGGUUCCCCAGAUGUCAAUGAAACACGUAAUCGGGUCUCCAAGACCACAAGCCUCAGAAGAUCACUGUGGAAGAAACACACUGGGCCAACCCAUCCUGUUGAUAUGACACAAAGUGCAGCCCAGUUUGGUAUUCUUUAAACUCUGAAGGAGUCUCACACCAGGAUUUGCUCUGAUGCCUCCUGAGAGGAGCAGAAAGCAGAGGGAAAGGGACCUGUACACACUGUCAGCCUGCUGUGCAAGACACGCUAAAAUGAUGCCAGCGAGGCACUUCUGCAGAGGGGGUCUCAGCUCCAGCCUGGCCGAAGCAACAGAGAAGUUGUCUGGGAGAUAUUCUGUGGCCAGUGACUUUAGGCUCCUCCCUGAAAGAAGUCUGGGAAACUACCAGCUCCUUGCAGAAAGACUGAAACAUGAUGGGCAGAGAAGGGUGUUGGUGUCGACAUUUGAGGAUGCAGUCAAGUCAAUGGAGUUCUGUUGUAGUGGUUGCUUCAGUGAACAUUCAACGCUGUCGGCCUUAACACCGAAGAUAGCAACCUAACCAUCAUAUGAUGUUUCUCCCUCACCCUGCCAAGCUUUACAAAAAGGUCACAAUCAACAUUCAUUGCUGUCGGUGGGUUUAACUAUGUGGACAAGCUCACUGAACAAUGAAUGCAACUGUGGCCUCACAUUGUACAGUUGCCGUUGAGAGGAGUAGCAGCUCUGAAGGCAAUAGUGAGAAGCAAACACUUCUUUUAAGCUACAGUUUUCUGCUCAGAAAAAUAGUUGGGGGUGUCCAGUUUUUGCUUGUUUGGUUUUGAGUGCAUUUAACUUAGCUGACUGGAAAAGAAAACCCACUGUGUUUUUCUUGGGUAUUGUCCUCACCAGGUCCAGUGCCACUGAAAAUGUGAAAGUUCUUAUUUAGUAUGUGUGCAGAAAAAAUAACAGGACAGGACACUCAGUAUAUCCACUCCUAAGGCCUCUAACAUAAGAGAAAAGAAUAUUUAGUUGUCAUUUAACUGGGCAUUGUUGAAGAGUUCAAAAGUUUAUUCUAUACUUGUCAUGACAUAUACAGCUGGGAACAAAUGGGAUUUAAGAGUUACGGAUAAAAACGUUAUGUCAAAAAAUAUUAAUUAAUUUUACAUGAAACUGAUUUUAAGAACACAAAUACUAUUGCAUUUGCUAUUUUUGGGGAUCUGAAAGAUGGCAGAGAAAUGUAUAUCCAGAAAUAAUAAUGGAAAAGAGUUAAAUUGUAAAGUUGUUGAAUUGUAAACCGAGUACCUAUGUCACGCUCUGAGUUUUGCAAUAAGAAAAUAAAAUGUAAAUAAGCUCACA
rnacentral:lncRNA from 1 species